rnacentral:rRNA from 1 species
CAGUCGCCGCGGGAAUACGAAGGGUGCAAGCGUUAAUCGGAAUUACUGGGCGUAAAGCGUGCGUAGGCGGUUUGUUAAGUCUGUUGUGAAAUCCCCGGGCUCAACCUGGGAACUGCGCUUGUGACUGCAAGCUAGAGUGUGUCAGAGGAUGGUGGAAUUCCCGGUGUAGCGGUGAAACGCGUAGAGAUCGGGAGGAACAUCAGUGGCGAAGGCGGCCAUCUGGGACAACACUGACGCUGAGGCACGAAAGCGUGGGGAGCAAACAGGAUUAGAUACCCGCGUAGUCCCUGUCUCUUAUACA